CCAAAAAAACAAAAAAAAAAGCAACAGAAGCAAAUGGCUGCCUGGGAGUGGCCGCUGUGGGGCAUUCCCAUUUGUGUGACCCAGGUCGUGUCCCUCCCUAAGUCCUGGUCUCUCUUGCCUCCUCCAGGGCUGGUGAAUUACCAGAUCUCCAUCAAGUGCAGUAACCAGUUCGAGUUGGAAGUGCGUCUUUUGGAUGCAGAAAACAUUUGGAUGCAGAAGUCGUGGCCAACGGGGCUGGGACCCAGGGCCAGCUGAAGGUGCCAGGUGCCAGCCUCUGGUGGCCAGACCUGAUGCACGAACACUCCGCCUACCUGUACUCAUGGGAGAUCCGAGGGAAGGACUUCAACUGUCUGCUGCUGGUGAAGGACUUCAUCCUGCUUCGCUGGCUUGGCACCAACACCUUCUGCACCAGCCACUGUCCCUAUGCAGAGAUGCUGCAGAUGUGUGACUGAUACGGAAUUGUGGUUAUUGAUGAGUGUCCCGCUGUGGGCCUGGUGCUGCCAUGAGUCCCUGCUGUGCAUCUGCUCCGCCUGGCCAGCCCAUGGGCCACACCGUGCCUCCGUCCCUUCCCUCCUGGCCCCCUGGCAGCUCUUCAACAACGUGUCUGUACAUCACUACAUGUGGGUGAUGGAAGAACUGGUGCACAGAGACAAGAAUCACCCUGCCGUGGUGAUGUGGUCUGGCCAGGAGCCUGCAUCCUACCUAGAAUCUGCUGGCUACGACAUCAAGAAUUUUACUGCCUUGAUUUGAGACAGAUUAUCAGAGGUGGGCACCGUUAUCCUCUCUUUCAUGCAGGAUUUAUCACAUCAGGUUCCUGCUCCAGCACGGCUCCUGGACUGGCCCCAGGUGCUGGCCCCGGG